UACGUAGGUGGCAAGCGUUGUCCGGAUUUAUUGGGUUUAAAGGGUGCGUAGGCGGUCUUCUAAGUCAGUUGUGAAAUACGGCAGCUUAACUGUCGAGGUGCAAUUGAUACUGGGAGACUUGAGUACUGAUGAGGUAGGCGGAAUGGACGGUGUAGCGGUGAAAUGCUUAGAUAUCGUCCAGAACACCGAUAGCGAAGGCAGCUUACUAAGGAGUAACUAACGCUGAGGCACGAAAGUGUGGGGAUCAAACAGG
rnacentral:rRNA from 1 species